rnacentral:rRNA from 1 species
UACGUAGGGACCAAGCGUUGUUCGGAUUUACUGGGCGUAAAGGGCGCGUAGGCGGCGUGGUAAGUCAGCUGUGAAAUCCCCAGGCUCAACCUGGGAACUGCAUUUGAAACUCCCUUUCUUGAGUACCGGAGAGGAAAGUGGAAUUCCUGGUGUAGAGGUGAAAUUCGUAGAUAUCAGGAGGAACACCAGUGGCGAAGGCGGCUUUCUGGACGGUAACUGACGCUGAGACGCGAAAGCGUGGGGAGCAAACAGG